UGGCAGCUUUCCUACAUGAUCGUCACACUAAUCUAGAUACUAACCCACAGACAAAUGCCAUGAAUUUAGACGUCGCGAAAGCAUUCGGGCACCUCAAGCGACAAACUCGGUACAUCAGUUCAUCAUCACGGUGAACGAGAUACACUGAGCCACGGCUGAAUAAGACCGUGCAUAUGUGGAUGCAAGGGAGCGUGUUAGUGUCGAAUUGGGUCAACAGACAUUACAGAGGGGAGUGGUAAAAAUAACGAACAAGUUUUUCACCCAAAUUGACAAAUUCUGUUACAUGCCACUGGCGAUUUUUCAUAUUUCUGUUGACUUUAAUAGAACGGACGCUUACAUACUAAUAAAUACUGGUUGUGCUAACCACUGAACAUUAUUGGAAAAUAUUUUUUGAAAGAUGAUUUUCAA
rnacentral:lncRNA from 1 species